rnacentral:rRNA from 1 species
CGCGUAGGCGGCCUCUUAAGUCAGAUGUGAAAGCCCGGGGCUUAACCUCGGAAGUGCAUUUGAAACUAAGGGACUUGAGUAUGGGAGAGGGAAGUGGAAUUCCUGGUGUAGAGGUGAAAUUCGUAGAUAUCAGGAGGAACACCGGUGGCGAAGGCGACUUCCUGGACCAAUACUGACGCUGAGGCGCGAAGGCGUGGGGAGCAAACA